rnacentral:rRNA from 1 species
UACAGAGGGUGCAAGCGUUAAUCGGAUUUACUGGGCGUAAAGCGUGCGCAGGCGGCCCGUUAAGACAGGUGUGAAAUCCCUGGGCUCAACCUAGGAAUUGCGCUUGUGACUGGCGGGCUCGAGUACGGUAGAGGGGGGUGGAAUUCCUGGUGUAGCAGUGAAAUGCGUAGAGAUCAGGAGGAACACCGAUGGCGAAGGCAGCCCCCUGGGCCUGUACUGACGCUCAUGCACGAAAGCGUGGGGAGCAAACAGG